UUCCAUCUCGGGAGUUCUGAUGACUCGAGCUUGGUUCUUGUGGUUUAUGAUGUCACCGGGACCCAUCGAUGGAGUCGUAGCCCCAUAAUUCACCGUUGCCCUGUUAUUUAUUCUGUGCAAUAAAUGGCUGCAGUUUAAUCACCAGAGUAAAUUGCUGAAGCAUCUUUGUGGAAACUAUAAUGUUACUGUAGCAGUAUCUAUGGCAACAGGGAUUCAGUAGUGGUGGCUAAUGCAGACAGACCAGGAGCGCUGUUAGCCCCGUGCACGCAGCAAGCAGGGCGUGUGUACCGGCCUCAGGGGGAUGAGAACCUGAGGGCCAGAUCUGGAUGUACCGUAAGAGGAGAAAAAUCCGUUAACUGCUGGACAGCUACCUGUGGUGCAGCGUAAGGGGGGCUCAGCUCUGGUUCCAAUGAUUUGCUCGAGUGCCGCAUUCAUUGGAAUGAGAAAGGUGGGGAGGAACACGUAUCCAAUUCAAGAUGAGAGAAAUUCUAUUCUGGCAAUGAGUUUCUUUCUCUGUUAAAUAUAAAGUGAACUUAAACAAUUAGCUUGGACUGAAUCCCUACCUUUUCGAGGCUUAAAAUUAUGGGGUGUGACUUCCCCCUCGUUCUCUUCUCCCUGCUCCCAUGCUGGCUCUCAUUUCCAUAUGCAGCCUAAUUCUACAGGCAGGAGAAAUUCAGCAUUGCUCACAGAAUUUGUAUUGGUGGCAUAGAAUCGACGCCUUUCACUCCAGCUUGCCCAGGCUGGCUCCAUGCUUAUCCAGAGUUGUGGCAAUACAGCUUUUGGCUGUGAGCUGGCCAUUUCUGCCUAGCCUUGCUGGAGUAAGCCCAACAUAUGGGUUCUUGGGCAUUGUCCAAACUGCCUGUGUUGACUUUGGAGAGUGCAUGUUUUGCCAUCCUGGCUACAGUGCAAGGAAAAUUGAUGUGCAGUGUAGCAGUGCCAGUGUCAGCUGUGACAUAUUUAAGGGUGACCUUAAUUAGAAUUUUUUUGUUGUUUUACACCCUACACAGCUGCUUCUGUUGUAUGGGUCCUUCUGCAUGUAUGAUGCUCGCAUGCUCACCGCAUGAGUCACCCUGCAGCAGGGCUGCCUCAGACUCAUGUCUGGGGCAUGGAUUUCAAAAGCACUCAAGUGACCAAACUUAAUGAUUUUCAGCUGACUUCUAGUAUUGUCCUAAACAUGGAAUUCUUACCCAUAAACCACAGUGCUGCCCACGCUCUCCCCCCUCUUUCCCAGGCUCCGUCGUGUGCAUGGCGGCACGUUCUUCUCUGCUGACCCUGCUGCAAGGUAAGAGUGCUCUGGCAGGCAGGUAGGGUGGGGAGCUGUGGGCAGGAGGAUUCACCAGAGGAGUUUGGGGGCUCUCUUGCACGUGCUUGCAUACAUUAUCUCAAAACAUACACGGGCAUUUGCACCUGUAUGUAUUCUUCCACUGUAGAAGCUGUUGUGUCGUUAAGCAGAUAUUCCUCCUUAGAGGUGGCUUCGUUUCUGUGAUGGAAGGAAAUGAUUUGCUAAGCUCUGUUAAACUCCUUCAUUACACCAGACAAAGUGGGAGAAAAAAGGUAUUUAAAAUAUUUUGGUGACAAAUUAUAUUUUGAGUGCUCAAUUCCAGCAACAGAAAAAUAUGUGAAAUGUAACCAAAGAGAUUGCCUCAUUCGUGGACUUGGUAAAGUAGGACACCCGUGUUCCCUCUGUCCUAUUGUUGCCUGGGAUGUCAGAAGAAGACAAGAUUUAUAAGAACUUGAGUUCUUAGGGGAACUUCUCACCCAGUAGCUCCCUGGGGCUUCAGCUAAACUGUGGGAUAUUCGGCGUUUCCCAACUCUUGCGUUGAAGACUGUCUCCUCUCUUCCCAGCUGCGAGAUGUGGCUGCGCACCAUUUCUGUUUGCUCCCCUCCCACGCUCUGGUUUCCGUAGGAAGGAAUCCUGGGCAUGUGAGUCAGGGAGCUGUAGCGUGCUCUGGUCGUGUCACCAGUCUGAAUGAUUCAGGGCUGAGACCGCACGACACACCUACCCCGUGAUUUGCAUAUAGCCCUUGGGACGCUCAAAGCCACAUUUUCCCAACACGCCAAGUUCUUGAGAAAAUGCAACCACUUGUUUUGGUGCAUAAAUAUAAACUUAACCCUUAAGAGCAGAAAUCACAUCUAUGACCAGGUGCACCAGGGAAGAGAAUCUGCUGCCCCCCUCUCCCCCCCCCCCCAGCAAUUCCCAUACGUGCAGAUAUCAUUUGGGGAGCGUGGUGUCCCUUCUGGCUGUGUGCUGUGCUGUUUGCACCACGUUCUCUCAGCUUCUGUUUCUCUCUCUCCUCCUGCUUUUUCCCCCUGUGUGAGAGCACUGGCGCCUACGAUGGAAGGUCGUCAGUGAGGUUACUCAACUGGCUCCAAGUAUUAAGACUUCCUGCUCUGCUACGAUGAGCUGCCAAGCCCCCGCUCCCCGCUGCUCACCACAGACCCAGUGUCUGCCUCCCUACUCUUCUCAUCCCCCUCCCUACCAAUUCAGAAAGCCAGAUGCCCAUACAGCACACAGAGCGGGAGGGGAGGCACCCAAGCUACUUUCAGAUGCAUUUGUGUGAGUGCUGAAAGCAGUUGGGCCCCUGGGUGAUGUUGUCAGUGUUGCUUAUCGAUGUGCGUGUCCCUGGGGCCAGGUGAGCCAUCUCAGGGUGCGUGGGCGAUGCCCCUCCAGAGUCUGCAGCAGGUUCCUGGGAGGGUCUGGCCCAGCAGUAAGGCUUUUAUUCCCAUUGGGAUAAGUUAUCAGGUUUUUCAACAUGAUCCUGGCCUGGAUAACAGGGAAGGGGUUUGUAAAAAGUAGCUAAGGAGAGCAUGGUUUCUGUCCGUAGGUGUGAAUUGGCUGCACAAGGACCUGUGACUUCCUUACAAAAUGCUGGGGGGGUACAGAUUGAAAAGAGUUAAAACCCUCUGCCCUAGCCAUGAACCUGGGGAAAGACAAGAACUCUCCUGUGGCAAAUGAAGUGAAACAUCCCCAAAGGAUGAUGCAGCGAUGGGUGAGCAGCUGUGGAGCAAGGGGAGAGAAGCAGCACCCUGGGGAUUGCCUUUAAGUGUGGGGCUGCACCCAAAGGUACAGGAGAUGGAGAGAGCUUUAUUUACAGGAAUGGAGCAUGCACCAGAAGAGAAGGAACAGGAUCCUGGGAGAAGAGGAAGAGAGAAAUAUGGUGGGAAGGGGGGAAAUGGGAUGAUUGAUAGCUAUUUUUGUAAAAUCCACGGGGGGUGGGGGGGGGAUACUGCUCCAAAAAGCACCAUAGAAAACAACCACGUCCAAGUGAAAAUACAAUUUUCUUUAGGAAUAAUAGACAAGCCCUACCUACUAAUUGUUCAACAGGAUGAGGAAAAACUGCUUGCUCCACCCUCGUAGGAGCUGAGGUGAGGUUAAAGCCACAGCUCCCUGGGAGAAGGCUCCAGCACUGCACACCCUGCUCUGGGCUACAGUAGCGUAGUGGCACCCAGCCGUCUGCCUCCUGGCUCCCCUUCUGGGCAGUAUGGGGGGCUCAGGUUUGCGAGGAUCCUGCUCUCAAACCAGGGCAGAAGCAGCUGCUUUAGAGGAACUGAUUUUAGUUCUGCAGCCGUGGCAGCAUCCCUUUAACUCCGUCUCUGCUCACAACUCCCUUUCUUAAAGAUCAUGUUGGAGACUUCCUACUCCUGUGCCAGGCUGCUGGAGCACCAGCCAGAAGCUCUUUGUCUUCUUCUGGGACCUCUAAGGCUGCAGUAAACACACCUUGAGUUCUUCAUGAACACCCCAUCCGGGUUUGGCCCACUCUCUGCUAGGUUAUGCUAAACUGAGACCACAGAGACCUCAUUUCAUUACUUCAUUUGUGUAGGUGUAAAGUUAUUUGAGUUCUCUGCAAACAUGGGUAUUCAUUCAUUUAGAUUUGUUAAUUUUCUGUAAGAUGAGAGAGCCAGUCAGAAAGCCAAAGCCUCACUAUUAAACAUUCAAGUGUGCUUAAAAACAAUAAUUAAAAAACAUAAAUCUUAAAUUAACUGAUUUGUAAUUAUGGUUUUGGUGUUCAUCUUUCAGGGUGUUGCCACCAGCACGUUAGCAGAUUUUUGUUCUGGGGACUUGUAGCCAGACAUCAACAAUGAAAAGAUGAGAAAAGCACUGAAAUAGGAGAGGGGUGCCAACAGUAAGCUCUGUUGUGUCACAGGAACUGGGGGUAGCUAUUACCUUAUUUCACUGCACCAUAACUUAGCUGCUCGUUUAGUUAGUGUCACUUUGUAGGGAUGCAUUGCUCUGGGUAAGGGGUAAAGUGAGGCAAAUGGGAUGGGAGAAGGUUAUAGAUGUGAACUACAGGGAUGUCCUCACUUUUUCAGGGGGUAGAAAAUCAGAUGGAGUGUAUUUGCUCUUGCGCUGUGGCCAUGAGCAACAAAGGAAAAGAGCAGGGGAUUUAUCUAGCUACAGUCUAAUAUUCUUUUGGCUGCAGCAAAGGCUGCAGCACUUCCCGACUAUCGGCUGGUGCUUUCACUCACACACAUCUGUGAUUGAUGGGCAGAGAGUAUAAACACCUCAUUAGUGCUAUAAUUCACUGGUUAGGGCUCAGACUGUGCUGUGGGAGGGAGGAAAAAAGAGUUGAGAAAGUUUAAUAAAGAAAAAAAAAAAUGGAAGAAGGAAAAGAACGGAUGUAAAGGCCACACAAAUCAUUCCAGGGAGUUAUCUGACCUGCUUUGAAAACUUUAAUUGCUGAUAAUGGACAACCUGUUGGGUGGUAUUUUAUUAACACUAAUAGAUUUUUACGGGAUAUUUCUCACAUUGCUCUCCCAGAGCCUGAGGAAUACAUUAAAUAUUAAAAGUUAAUGCUCUUGGUUGCAGUUUCAAGGAUGCCCUGCUGAUAACGAGCUUUCCCGCAAGUUAGAAACCAGGAGAAAACAUGAGCUGCUUUUGCCAUUUACGGCCUCUGCAAUAAUAAUGAGGAAAAUACUUGAAUCUUGUGUGCACCUUGCAGCUGAGGUUCUCAAAAGUCCAUCCUAAAUGCUAUGUAAUGAAAGUGCUCAGCCCAGAGAUAGUGGGUGUACCUAAUCUUCAGUCAUGGCUGUGCAAGAGCUGAGUUCCCAAGUCCCACGCUGAAAUCAAAUGCUUCUAAACCCCCAUGUGCUCCUUUACAUUUCAGUUAUUCAAAGCAGAGGCCUGAACCAACAACUCAUACCUGUUUCUCAAGAGAGCUUAUGUCUGAAAUGGACGUGCUAUCAUAUUUUUCUUUAAUAUGCCUAAUGGUUUUAUAAAAGUGUUGCUUUCAGGCUGUUUUUUUUUGAAACAGAAAUGACCCAGCUACCUGGAACAGAAACCUCAGAGUCUCAGGAAGCAGCUGCAGAAGCCUCUGAGAAUGUGGGCAGCAAGGGGUUUUCUGGAAGGUGCUCUCAGCAUCCCCAAGUCCUACGCACAGCGGAGAACCCUCCAAGUAUGGAGAAAAAGGCCAGUUCCGUACUGUAAAGACAUGGAUUCGAGCAGCCAAAGAAGGAGAAGAAAUGAAUGCCAACAUACUUUCCCUCCAGCAAACUGAAGGGAGAGUAAAUUUGAAGCUGAGUGUGAACAGUAACCAGCUCAUGUGGGGAGACACCAACUUGUCAAAUGGAAGGAGGCCCUUUGAAGUGUGGAGAUAAGGACCUUUCUAGCCUUCAGUCAUAUCUGAAAGCCAUUUUCAGCCCAGCAGAGGAACGUGUCAUUCAGCUGGAUUGGGUUUGCCUAUGUUGUACAGAGGAAUGGACAAGCGGAGUUGGUGCAGAUUCCCCUGUCUGGUUGGCAUCGGCAGCUGGAUUAUCAAGAUGUCUUGACAAAGUACUUCUGCACAGUAUUUUUCAUGUAAUCAAAAGCUGUUAGCACUGAAAUAUCUUCCCCAGAAAGGAUUCUCCUGAGCUGCACACCGUGACUGCUGCCUUGACGUUCUCCCGAGCUGACAUCCCGACCGGUAUGACACUGAUGCCUUUGGGCAGAAAUCAGAGCCGGUUUGCUCCAUGCCUCUGCGUAGCCACGAUGCCUGUAGCGCCUCUGAGAGCCCCCAGUGCCCUGGUGGGGAAAUGGAGCGAGCACGUGGGCCCCAAAUGAACUCCAGGAAGAGAGCAGGCAUUAUCCACAGCGAUCAUGCUACCCAUUUCCAGUUUAAAGUGCUAUUCGCAUUCAGACCUCCAGCAACUGUUGAAGAGGAAGGGUGGUCUUCUGGCUGAGUCAUUACCCAGAGCUGUGAGACCUGAUUCAGCUGAAAUGAGAGCAGG